UGUUGGUACCAAUGGAAUUGUCAAGACAGUGGUAGCUGAAAGCCUGAGCCAAGUAGCUUCAUUAGUCCACAGCCUUCUUACUAUGGUCCAUGAUCCAGCUCCCAAAGGCAAAUCCAAUGGCGGUGGUGGCGGUGUGAAGCACGUGGGCAGCGGUGAUUUUCCAUCAUGGGUUGGCAAACACAGCAGGAAGCUCCUUCAGGCCUCAUCAGUGUCACCAGAUGUUACAGUAGCUGCAGAUGGAACUGGGAAUUAUACUACUGUGAUGGAUGCAGUCCAAGCAGCCCCUGAUUACAGCCAGAACCACUAUGUAAUCUACAUCAAGCAAGGCAUUUAUAGGGAGAAUGUGGAGAUCAAGAAGAAGAAAUGGAACCUGAUGAUGGUCGGAGAUGGGAUGGGCGCUACUGUCAUUACUGGAAACCGGAGCUACAUCGAUGGCUGGACUACAUAUGCAUCUGCAACCUUUGGUAUGAGUUCAUUGAGUUGUGUCUUAAUUUUUGGCAUGCCAUUUUCUUCCACCAUGACCCCAUGCUUUUGAAUAUAGAGAAAGAGAAAUUAAUGCUUUGCAUUCAAGUUUAGGAUGCAAAAGACUAGGAAAAAUCUCUGCCCAACUACCAACCAAGCUGGAGUCAACCUAAUAGUUUUAACUAAUUUGGCAUAAUGGAAUGCAGCUGUUAAGGGCAAAGGAUUUAUUGCAAGAGACAUGACAUUUGAGAACACGGCAGGACCAGAGAAGCACCAAGCGGUAGCAUUGAGGUCCGAUUCAGACCUUUCGGUCUACUACAGAUGCAGCAUGAGGGGAUACCAGGACACACUGUAUCCCCACACGAAUCGUCAAUUCUACAGAGAGUGUAGAAUCAGUGGCACCGUCGAUUUCAUAUUCGGUGAUGCCACGGUGGUCUUCCAAAACUGCCAAAUCCUGGUGAAGAAGGGCUUACCAAAUCAAAAGAACACCAUCACCGCCCAAGGCCGCAAAGACCCUGCUCAGCCCACGGGCUUCUCAAUACAAUUCUCCAACAUAUCAGCAGAUUCUGAUCUUCUGGCUUCAGUGAACUCCACACUCUCGUACCUUGGUAGGCCAUGGAAGCAAUAUUCGCGUACCAUCAUCAUGAAAUCCUACAUCAGUGAUGCCAUUAGGCCAGAAGGAU
rnacentral:lncRNA from 1 species